ACCCGCUGAACUUAAGCAUAUCAAUAAGCGGAGGAAAAGAAACUAACAAGGAUUCCCCUAGUAACUGCGAGUGAAGCGGGAAAAGCUCAAAUUUAAAAUCUGGUAGUCUUUGGCUGCCCGAGUUGUAAUCUAGAGAAGUGUUACCCGUGCUGGACCGUGUACAAGUCUCCUGGAAUGGAGCGUCAUAGAGGGUGAGAAUCCCGUCUUUGACACGGACUCCCAGUGCUUUUGUGGUGCGCUCUCAACGAGUCGAGUUGUUUGGGAAUGCAGCUCAAAAUGGGUGGUGAAUUCCAUCUAAAGCUAAAUAUUGGCGAGAGACCGAUAGCGAACAAGUACCGUGAGGGAAAGAUGAAAAGAACUUUGGAAAGAGAGUUAAACAGUACGUGAAAUUGUUGAAAGGGAAACGCUUGAAGUCAGUCGCGUUGUCCAGAAAUCAACCUUGGUUCUCCUGGGUGUACUUUCUGGUUCAACGGGUCAGCAUCAGUUUUGAUCGAUGGAGAAAGUCCAAGGGAAUGUGGCAUCUUCGGAUGUGUUAUAGCCCCUUGUCACAUACGUUGGUUGGGAUUGAGGUCUUAGUGCACGCUUCGGUUGUGCUUUGAUGCUGGCGUAAUGGCUUU
rnacentral:rRNA from 1 species